rnacentral:rRNA from 1 species
UACAGAGGUCUCAAGCGUUGUUCGGAUUCAUUGGGCGUAAAGGGUGCGUAGGCGGCGCGGUAAGUCGGGUGUGAAAUCUCGGGGCUUAACUCCGAAACUGCAUUCGAUACUGCCGUGCUUGAGGACUGGAGAGGAGACUGGAAUUUACGGUGUAGCGGUGAAAUGCGUAGAUAUCGUAAGGAAGACCAGUGGCGAAGGCGGGUCUCUGGACAGUUCCUGACGCUGAGGCACGAAGGUCAGGGGGAGCAAAACGGGG